CUUGUAGGCGGUUCGGUUAGUCGGGUGUGAAACCUCUGGGCUCAACUCAGAGACGCCACCCGAUACUGCUGUGACUAGAGUGCGGUAGGGGAGCGGGGAAUUCCUGGUGUAGCGGUGAAAUGCGCAGAUAUCAGGAGGAACACCAGUGGCGAAGGCGCCACUCUGGGCCGUAACUGACGCUGAGGAGCGAAAGCGUGGUAGCAAACA
rnacentral:rRNA from 1 species